AAGCAGGCCCCUGGUGCUUCUGGUGCAGAGGCUGGUGCCAGCGCAGGUGCUGCUCAGGACGAUGAUGACGACGUUCCUGAGCUUGUCCCUGGAGAGACAUUUGAGGAGGCCGUGGAAGAGAAAAAGGAGGAGGCAUCAUAAUUUUGCUACAGGCCUACUGUUGUGAAGUGGGUAUAAGUGAAGCGUUACCAUUAGAAGAGACCUGUUGAGAACUCUGACCUACCUUAUUUGUGCCUGUGGUCCGGUUAUGUCGUGAACGAGAAUUUGGUAGGAUGUGCUGGUGGGAUUUUACAUGAAGUACGCCUCUCUUUUUUCACGCAUAUAUCUCCCUUGCUUUUGUGUGGUAAAGGUCUUGUU
rnacentral:lncRNA from 1 species